AUCACUUUUUGGCCUUUUGGCUAAGAUCAAGUAAAGCAUCUGUUCUUAUCUAUAUAAUAAAAGCCAUUACAGCGGAACGAACAAAACGACCAGUC
rnacentral:snRNA from 1 species